ensembl:lncRNA
CGACGGGGGGCAGCGACAGACAGUAAUGUAUUGUUUCGACUGAGUAAAUGGAAUUCUGCAUUAUGCAUCCAAUUACACGUCCGCGGUUUGUAGCCGGGCAAUCAGCACAAAGAUAAAGUAUGGAUUUAUGUAACUGUCUGAUAAUACAUCUCGGACUGCUUUCCAGUUUCCUGAAUACCUCCUCGUAGAACGUAGCACCAAUAAAUCAAAAAGCUAUACCUAGUUUAAUUAGACUAUUGGGUUUAAUUAAAGAGAACCGACGCAUUCCCAUGGCAGUUUGUAAUGGUUGUGUUGUACAAGUUAUCCUCCCUUGAAAACUUAAAUGAUUAUAUUUCAGCUUUAAACUUGAUUCUAUACUUUAAAAUAAAUGUACAUACAGAACUUGAUAUUUUGGAGAGCUAGAGCGCUAGGUUGAAAUAUUGGCUACGUUAGCCUGUUCCUUACAAAAAAAUCAGAAGCCCAUAUCUCAAAAAUGACUAACGAUGGAUCUCAGACCAUCAUCUCUUUACAAGAUGUAGCUAACAAAAACAAGUGUAUUCCCUGACGACACAGAAUGUGUUUUACAGCAGCAACCAGUGAGGUAAAGUGCAUAUUUUACGCACCAGCGCGGGGAGGGAGAGCAGAGAGUGUGCUGAUUUGCCAAUGGUAGAGUCCAACAGCUGAUUGUUUGCUCGAGAGUCGAGACACUAAACACAGAGCGAGGGAUCUGCGAGCGCUUCGCGCAGUAUACGAGGUUGGAAAGGUUGUCAGAGUACUUCACUGGCGGGACGUGGCUAUGAGGAUGUCCGUGGGGAGGAGAUGCUUUUAAGGAAAAGCUUUCUGGCCCUCCAUCCCCAAGGACCUCACACUCACACCGCUCUCACCUCCUCUGAGGGCGACAGCAGAUAAAUCUCUGGAGUGUCACGACUAAGCACACCUCAAGCUCCCAGGAGAGAGACAGAGAGAGAGAGAGAGAGAGAGAGAGAGAGAGAGAGAGACAGAGAGAGAGAGGGAACGAGAGUGAGAGGGACAGAGAGAGAGAGAAAGAGUGAGAGAUCCCAGUUGACCCCUCCCUGGGCACAUCGCCUCACAGUGCCAAGAGCGACAUUCAGCUCUGCUUCCUGCUCUCUCUUUCCCAUUGCCGGCAGCCUCCUCUUCCUCCCCCCGGUUCCUUAUUCAGGUCUGGCUCUUGCCCGUACCUGGUCUAAAUAAUUAGGCCAGUGGACAGUCUGCUUGUCCUGACCCGUGGUGUGGCGUGUCAUGUAGCGUGCAACAGGGCUGCAGUGUCGUCAGGCUCCUGAUUAAACACCGAACCCAAUUAAGAGGGAGAGAGGUGGGGAAGGCCCAUCUGGAGUGUGACUCUUUCUCU